rnacentral:pre_miRNA from 1 species
GUGUAUAUAUAUGUACACACAUAUAUGUGUAUAUAUGUACACACAUAUAUGUGUGUACAUAUAUGUACACA